GAUGAACGCUGGCGGCGCGCCUAACACAUGCAAGUCGAACGAUUAAAGCACCUUCGGGUGUGUAUAAAGUGGCGAACGGCUGAGUAACACGUGGGCAACCUGCCCCUCUCAUUGGGAUAGCCACGGGAAACCGUGGAUAAUACCGAAUACUUCGGGACUUCCGCAUGGAAGACUCGAGAAAGCUCCGGCGGAGAGGGAUGGGCCCGCGGCCUGUUAGCUUGUUGGUGGAGUAAUGGCCUACCAAGGCAAUGAUGGGUAGCUGGGUUGAGAGACCGACCAGCCAGAUUGGGACUGAGAGACGGCGCAGACUCCUACGGGAGGCAGAAGUGGGGAAUCUUGCACAAUGGGAGAAAGCCUGAUGCAGCGACGCCGCGUGCGGGAUGAAGGCCUUCGGGUUGUAAACCGCUGUCAGCAGGGACGAGGCGAAAGUGACGGUACCUGCAGAAGAAGCCCCGGCUAACUACGUG
rnacentral:rRNA from 1 species